CAAGAAGGAAGAAGGCGAGUUUAAUCCCCUAUCUACAGCGUGCCUGGUUUAUCGCAGGUGCUCAAUGUAGUGACAGUUAAUGACUACACUUCCCAUAGGCCUUAGGGCAGCGUCGCCCGCAUUUCCCAGAAGGCUGUGCGACGCCCACGCCGGCCCUGAGCGUCCGUGGAAAAGAUGGUGACUUCAGGAGUAAGGACUAGGCUUUCACCUUAAAUCAAGGAGCUUGCUGAAAGAAGAUCCCAAGAGUGACUCUUCACCGGUAUCAGACCUGGGAGACACCUCAGAAUGUUCCAGAACCUUGGGCCAGCACUGGGGAGCCUCCACAUGGGAGGCCAAGCUGCUGCCCUGCCCAAGAGAAGAGUUGCAAGCAGGAGAGGGAAGAAGCAGCCACGACGGUGACAGAAUUGACCAGAACUCUAGACCAGACUUCAAGGAAGCUCUUCGAGGAAGAACCACAUCCUGUCCAUGCUGUUCUCCACGGCCCCUCUGAGCACCGCGGGACUUGGCCUGGAGACCGGAUGCCUGGACCAUCAAAACCAGAACGGCUUUCAGCUAAAUUCCUACCUGAGCUGUCUUGUACCACCACCUCUGAGACGCAAAUUGAGUCUACUGUUCCUCAGGAUGCCUGGGCCCGGUUUACUGUCCCGCAGGAAUCUUGCCCCUUGGUGCCAAAAGAACAUAGAUUUAUGUCUGGUGUCACCUUACCCUGAGCAUGUGUCGGGGAUGAGGGGGUGGUGUCCCUUGGACUUCUCCAGCGAGCAGUGCUCACUUCUCAGUGAGCAGAAAUGCAACUCAGUUUCAUGGCAGCUCCCUGCAGAGUUGGCAGAUGCCUUCAGGGCAAAAGCAGUUCUAAGAGUUCAUUUAUACACCAAACACAAAGGCAACUCAAAAGCAAACAGAAACAAGUAG
rnacentral:lncRNA from 1 species